rnacentral:rRNA from 1 species
GAACGCUGGCGGCAGGCUUAACACAUGCAAGUCGAGCGGUAACAGAGAUAGCUUGCUNUCUNCUGACGAGCGGCGGACGGGUGAGUAAUGCUUGGGAAUAUGCCUUAUGGUGGGGGACAACAGUUGGAAACGACUGCUAAUANCCGCAUAACGUNUACGGACCAAAGGGGGGGAUCUUNGGACCUCUCGCCAUUUGAUUAGCCCAAGUGAGAUUAGCUAGUUGGUAAGGUAAUGGCUUACCAAGGCGACGAUCUCUAGCUGGUUUGAGAGGAUGAUCAGCCACACUGGGANUGAGACACGGCCCAGACUCCUAGCGGGAGGACAGCAGUGGGGAAUAUUGCACAAUGGGCGAAAGCCUGAUGCAGCCAUGUCCGCGUGUGUGAAGAUAGCCCUUCGGGUUGUAAAGCACUUUCAGCGAGGAGGA